AUUGAACGCUGGCGGCAGGCCUAACACAUGCAAGUCGAGCGGAUGAAGGGAGCUUGCUCCUGGAUUCAGCGGCGGACGGGUGAGUAAUGCCUAGGAAUCUGCCUUGUAGUGGGGGAUAACGUCCGGAAACGGGCGCUAAUACCGCAUACGUCCUGAGGGAGAAAGUGGGGGAUCUUCGGACCUCACGCUAUCAGAUGAGCCUAGGUCGGAUUAGCGAGUGGGUGGGGUAAAGGCCUACCAAGGCGACGAUCCGUAACUGGUCUGAGAGGAUGAUCAGUCACACUGGAACUGAGACACGGUCCAGACUCCUACGGGAGGCAGCAGUGGGGAAUAUUGGACAAUGGGCGAAAGCCUGAUCCAGCCAUGCCGCGUGUGUGAAGAAGGUCUUCGGAUUGUAAAGCACUUUAAGUUGGGAGGAAGGGCAGUAAGUUAAUACCUUGCUGUUUUGACGUUACCAACAGAAUAAGCACCGGCUAACUUCGUG
rnacentral:rRNA from 1 species